UAAACUCCCUUUUAAAGAGGGUUUGUGUACAAAGAGAUACACGAGAAGGAGAAUUAAACCAAAGUGUUAUCGUAUGAAUUAUUUCUUGCAACUCUUGCGAUUAUGAUCUCUAUUUUGUAUAAAUACUCCUUCCAUUUAAGGAUAGUCUAACCUUAAUUUUUUGAGCAAAUAUCAUUUGUAGCCACUCGACCCAAACCAAUAACAUCCAGUAGCCUAAAAUUACGGUACACGUUUUAUACCCCAAAACUAAUUCCAGUGGCUAGCCCAAAGUUAAUAUGAUUUGAUAAAAAUAUUCGAUGCAUACCCGGCCCGAAGAAGGUGCAUAAUUGGUUGGUAGUUAUCGUCACUUGCGACUUGCACAAACAGGCGCGUUUGUCCAAAUUUACUAAUCUCUUCAACGUGAUUCAUAAUUCUUUAGACAUUUUUAUUGUUUGAAAUUUCCAUGUGACCUUGACAGAUAUAUACUUUCAUAUAUUCUUUUCUGCUCAUUUUGUACAAGUACUACUUAAUCAAUUAUGUCUCGUUACCCAUAAUUGAAAUCAAUCACGUCUAGUUCUAUACGGUUAGGGAUAUUGUAUACAUGCCC
rnacentral:lncRNA from 1 species